rnacentral:rRNA from 1 species
UGAAAGCUUGCUUUCAAUGCCGGCGACCGGCGCACGGGUGCGUAACGCGUAUCAAACCUGCCUCAUACUCGGGGAUAGCCUUGCGAAAGUAAGAUUAAUACCCGAUAUUAUUAGUUCUCCGCAUGGUGGAUUAAUCAAAGAUUUAUCGGUAUGAGAUGGUGAUGCGUCCGAUUAGGUAGUAGGCGGGGUAACGGCCCACCUAGCCUUCGAUCGGUAGGGGUUCUGAGAGGAAGGUCCCCCACACUGGAACUGAGACACGGUCCAGACUCCUACGGGAGGCAGCAGUUAGGAAUAUUGGUCAAUGGACGAAAGUCUGAACCAGCCAAGUAGCGUGCAGGAUGACGGCCCUCCGGGUUGUAAACUGCUUUUAGUUGGGAAUAAAAAAGGGACGUGUCCCUUCUUGUAUGUACCUUCAGAAAAAGGACCGGCUAAUUCCGUGCCACAGCGCGGAAUACGGAAGGUCAGGCGUUAUCGGAUUUAUGGGUUAAAGGGAGCGUAGGCGGAUUGUUAAGUCAGCGGUUAAAGGGUGUGGCUCAACCAUACAUUGCCGUUGAAACUGGCGAUCUUGAGUGCAGACAGGGAUGCCGGAAUUCGUGGUGUAGCGGUGAAAUGCUUAGAUAUCACGAAGAACUCCGAUCGCGAAGGCAGGUGUCCGGGCUGCAACUGACGCUGAGGCUCGAAAGUGUGGGUAUCAAACAGGAUUAGAUACCCUGGUAGUCCACACAGUAAACGAUGUAUACUCGCGGUUUGCGAUAGACAGUAAGCCGCCAA